UCUCCUCAAGCUAAGCUCCACUCCGAACAGUAGAAACUAACAGUCUCUUCCCCCUUCCUGCCCUUCACGGUAGAAACAGGCACAUGAGCUGUUCUGAGAAGUAACGAACGGCUAGUACACAGGUGAAAGUGUGACCACAAACCUUGUACUCCAAAGUUUUGUUUUUCUUCUCCAGUCGUUCUAUUUCUGAUUUCUGCCCUAAGAUCAAUUUUUCUUUUUCAUUUAGUUUUUCCUGGAUAUAGUUUUCUUUAUUUAGAA